AUCAGCCACCCCAGCAUCUUUCCUCAACUAUGGCAUCCAUCUCAGGGAUGUGCAGGGAGAGGCCAAGAGCAGAAAGCACUGGGCAGGUAGAGGUCCCUGUGGGGACAUUAAGAACUUGGUUUUCACCGUGCUGAUUUGCUUUGAGCCUCUGUGGACUAAAGCAGGCUGUCUCCCCAUAUCCUUUGUCCUCUCCCACCCCUCGCCGCCUCCCUCCCUCUCCUUGCUCUUGGUUAGAAAUUGUCAUUUAAAGCCCAAACUCCCAUUGUCCAAACUGGGAUUAAGCACCAUCUGUGCAAACUUUUGAGGCCAUUUCUGUGACUGGGAGGAAACGGAUGACUCAGAGAGACAUUGCGACACAAGAUCAGAGGUGACCCGGGGUUAAGUGGGUGGAUCUCAACAGCCCUGCUAGCUCAGCCUGCUGAGGCACAUGGCAAGGGAGCCAGCAGUCACUUUCAGAGGGCUGUAGGGUACCCCUUGACUGCCAGAUGCUUCCAAAUUGCAGCAGGUGCUGAGCUUUGGUCCGCCUGAUCCCACCGGUGGGAUGUUCAGUAGGACUCAGCGUUGGUGCAGCAGGAUGGUGUUUGGUGUUGAUCACCUCAUAGCACGCCUGGAGGGCUGCUGGCAGCUCUGGACUCAUGCAGAGAGUGUGCAAAGUGGCUGAUGGCCCUGCAAAACCCUUGGCUUAGCAAACAGACCCUCCUCCAGCUCCAGUGUCCUGAAGGAAGAAAUGUGGGGAAAGAGCGGAUAUUUAGGUGGUUCCAGCGGGGCAGUCUGAGGGGAUCAGCUGUUUUGAAGGACUGUGAUUGCAGGAGGUGGAUCUGGAUCCUAAAUCGGGCAUACAGCCAUGUCCAAGGGGCAGAGCAGGGAUCCUCUGAGUGAUGGACGUGAAGAUGGUGAGUGAAUUGAUUUUUCUUUUUUUUUUUAGAAAGAAGAAGGAGUUUCUAGCUUGCAACUUUUUCCCCAUGCACACUGUGAGUUGCUUCUGGUUCGCCAGGACACCACUGAUGUGCAAGAGAUGAUGCUGGAGCAGCUCACCAUGAGGACAAGGCAGGGCUGGACAGAGAUACGGAAAGAGUGCCAGGAAUACCUCAUUUGGGAUCAAGUUGCUGAGCUCCUGCUCUCAGUGCUGUCCUUGCCCGUCGCAUUUGGAUGUUGAAUUGGUGCGAUGAGUGUCAGCUCCGUGUUCUGCUGGGAGUGUGUCUGCAUCUGAAUCCAGGAUGCUGUGCACAUGCAGAAGGCCAAUCCUGCGAGGUGAUAGCUGGGGCAGGAAAUGUUAGAGAAAGAAGUAGCCCUCGAUGAGAAGCUGUGAUUAAGACAGCUUUACGCCCCGAAUCCAACCUGAACAGUUACAAUAACCCCAGAAGUUGGUGAAAUUAUUAGGCAGAGCUUAAGUAAAAUGAUAUGAAGACAAUGCUAAGGCAGGUGAGAUUUUGCUUGGCUUAAUGCACAAAGCCCAGAAGAAAAGGAAAGGAAAGAAUUUCCCCUGUGAAAAUCUCAGCUGGUUCCAUUUCCAGUGACAGUCAAAGAGUUAAAGUGAUAUGUUGGGAGUUAUGAGUGUUUAUCUAAAAGAAAAGUGGCAGGUGAAAGGGAUAAAAUAACACAGUUCUUAAAGCAAUGCAAUAUGUUCGAAUUAUCCGAGGAUCAGAGCUGGAAUUUGGAAGGUAAUAUUGGAUAGAAGGAAAUGGGAGAUGGAGACAGAAAUAGGAUGGGGUAAAACAGCUCGAGGUGGCUUCCCCAUUGGUUGCUGCAAAGGAAAAACAAAGAGGUUGGCAUUGAGAGGACCGCUGUGAAUUUGUUUAUUGGAGGGGAUUUUUAUUGCACUUUCAGAAAUAAGCUCAGGGCCUCUGCUAUGUCAGGGUGCAGAGCAGACCCUCCUGAGCUGAGUUUGGCUGGGAAAACAUCUGCAGUGUGUUCCUGUACGUGAGAACGCCGCUGGAAAUGGCUGCUGUGCUGAGAUGACCUGUGAAACAACCACCGCUGACCGAUGCUGAGAUCCUUCCCUUCGCUUUCACAACCUCUGCUCUUCAGGCAUCAGUCCUCCCCAGGAGCUCAGCUUCUCCUGGGCUGUUUUCUCAGGUACAACAGUGUGCACCAACCUUUUUUAACUGAGAAGAAGUAAAAGGUCCAAGAGCAGAGCAUCACUGAUGCAUUGCCUUCCCAAAUCUGCAG
rnacentral:lncRNA from 1 species